CAGCCGUAAACUAUGCGCGUUAGGUGUAUCGGUGACCACGAGUCACCGAGGUGCCGAAGGGAAACCGUGAAACGUGCCGCCUGGGAAGUACGGUCGCAAGGCUGAAACUUAAAAGAAUUGGCGGGGGAGCACCACAACGGGUGGAGCCUGCGGUUUAAUUGGACUCAACGCCGGGAAGCUCACCGGAUAAGACAGCGGAAUGAUUGCCGGGCUGAAGACUCUGCAUGACUAGCUGAGAGGAGGUGCAUGGCGUAGACGUCU
rnacentral:rRNA from 1 species